rnacentral:rRNA from 1 species
GUCUACGGCCAUGCCACCCUGAACAAGCCUGAUGUCUGAUCUUGGAAGCUAAUCAGGGUCGGGCCUGGUUAGUACUUGGAUGGGAGACCACCUAGGAAGACCAGGUGCUGUAGGCA